rnacentral:rRNA from 1 species
GACGAUGGGAGCGACCGUUAUCCAUAAUGACUGGGCGUAAAGGGUUCGUAGGUGGUUGUUUAUCUUGAUAAUGAAAGCCAGUCUUGGAGGAAAUGAAGUUUUAUCAAUUGAGCUCAACUUGAGGAAAAAAGAAGUAGCUUGAAUUAUGCAAGGAGGGAUGGUAUCUAGAGAGCUGCAUAAGAAGACCGAUUGGCACAGGCGGGCUACUAGUUUUUUACUAACAUUGGGGAACGAAAGUGUGGGGAGCAAAAGGG